rnacentral:tRNA from 1 species
CGGGUGUAGCUUAGUGGUAAAGCCUCUGCUUCCCAAGCAGAUGAUGCGGGUUCGAUUCCCGUCACUC